rnacentral:tRNA from 1 species
AAGGGAGACCUAAUUCCGGUAGGAGACGAAAAAAAAGUAGUCCCAACCAAGAAUCAAUCCCAAAAGGUCGGAACGAGGUAUGAGGCUUUCAAACUAGGUUCUGGGUUCAUAAAAGACCUGAAUCAGGAACAAGGGCUAUUAGCUCAGGUGGUUAGAGCGCACCCCUGAUAAGGGUGAGGUCCCUGGUUCGAGUUCAGGAUGGCCCACCUGCACAGGUGGCAAAAACAAGAGAAGCUCCGAAUCAGCACCUUAUCUUAUAUACAUAUAUAAGAGAGAAUGCUGGCUCUGAGUACAGAGUCCAGAGGAACCUUGAAAACUGCAUAGAGCUAGGUGAAAAAGCCAAAAAAGAAGACCGCAA